AAUUCAUAUAAAACUGAAUAAUCAACAGUGUUAUAGAGGGGCCUACUGUAUAUUGUGAAAUUUCCAAAGACAAAGCAAAUUAGUAUGAAUGCUCAUGUUGCUACACCUGUAUCUAUGAGCAGUUAUAAGAUACAAAGAAAUAAAAUGCACCUUAGACGACUGAUAUCUAAUGUACAAAAAUGUUCAUAGAUGAAAUGGUGCUUAUCGAACAUGCCAACUCUGCUAGUUACUGUAUCGAGGUUAAAAAUUCAUAAAUUUUUAAUAAAUUAAGACUUUUUGGAAAUUACAAUAGAUGAGAAAAGCUGUAUUGAAAGAUGAUGGCAUCAAACUAUGAGAUUAUCAACAAGAAAUCGCAGUAAUGCUGCUUGCGAUCUUUGAAGUCUGUGGCAGCGUGAUAUUGAUUUUCACGUAAAACAGGUUUGUGUUAGGAUUACAAUUGGAUUGAAUUUGAUUUUAUUGUUUAAUUAAUUUGUAAAAACAUCAAUACAAAUCAAAUGAUUAUAUAAAAUUGUAAUGGUAUUGCUAUGGCUCUUGUACAGUACAUAAUUUCAUUAUGUAAUAAUUUGCCUAAAUAAAUGAAAUUGAGCAGGAAUACACCAUUUAUAAUUUGUAGUGAACUUUUUUAUGAUGAUGAUACAAUAUAAAUCUAGUGAGAUUGUUGAUGGGUUUUCGAAGCAGAGCUUAAAAUGCAGAGUUGCUAUGUUGCCCAUUAUAUAUCAAGUUCUGUAUAAAUUUAGUAAUAUCAAAAUGUAUUAUUAAUGCUUAAAUAAGGAAGUAAUUUACUUUUGUGUUCUAGAUGAAUUGUAAAUCAUUUAACUCCUAAACUAGCAUUUUAAACAUUGUUUUGCUGAUUAUUGUUUUAAUUUAUCAGCAAUUUUAUUUUUAAGCUUUUGGGUGUUGUAGUUAAGUUUAAGUGAUAGGAUAUAUUAUUCAUUAUUUUGUUCUUACACAUAACUUUCCUGUUGACAGCAUGUUAGGCAAUUUUUGAGAUAAAAGUUUAUUUUUUAAGAGAUCGGCUUUUAAAAUGGUAGUUAAUUUCUUUCAAAAAAUGGCUGACAAAUUUACACAUAAAAAUUUGUAGAAAAGAUUAAAAUGCCGUGAUUUUCUCCAUGUCGAAUCACCAGUAACAACAGUCUUCCAUUGCAGAGAUGACCUUUUAUUAGAGGCUAUGCCUCUGCAAAAUAUGCAAAAAUAGUUUAAAAAGUUUGCAGAUGACAAGCCAAACAAUUAAGAAAUAUAAUUUCUUUCAAAGGAAAACUGUUGUUCUGGUGAUUUGACAUGAAAAUCAGGACAAUUUAGUCUUUUCUAAGUAUUUUUAAUGAUGAUUGAUAUUUUGAAUGAAUGUGAUCAGAUGAUAAAUUACAAAUAUAUGAUUGUAACUAGGCAAGACUUCUAAGUGCAUUCUUGUUAAUCUGAACUAAUUAUUGCAUAGAAUUUGGUACAGAUAAGCAGAGUUAAAUAUAAAGAAAAUUAAGUCUACAUCUAUAUAUAUAAGCCAUUGUCACAUCUGUAACGGCAUCCAUUGCCUAAAACGCCCACUAAGGGCAUCCUAGCAAUGAUUUUAAAUUAACAAUAAAUUAAUUUUAUUUGUAAUAGGAAUUUAUUAUUGAUAUGAAUUUAUGUGAACCCGAGGGGAGGUUGUAGGUCUCCUGCUUCUGUCACUAGUCAGGAUGAUACAUCAGGCGAGUGGAGGGAGAGAAUUUGGGGUCGACGAUAAGGUGAAGGGCGUAUCGAGUAAAGGAGGCGACCAUUUAACAAAUAUAACAAUUAUUUAUUAAAAGAAGCAAAAUGACAAAAGGCUACAGAAACUUGUAGGUACACGAGUAAAACACAGAUUCGGGCCAAGCGAACAAGAGAGAUUGGCCGAUCUACGAUCGUGCGAUAAAGACGCCGAUCUGAAGGAGCAAGUUAUCGUGGUGGCAAUUAGUUAAAAGAGGCCAUAAAGUUUAUCGACGUAGAAAAUCAGAAACGUGCUGUCAUAAGCCACCCUAAAGAGUUUCCUCGUUCUUUCAUACCUCUUUAUACAGUUUUCGACUAUUUUGAACAUGGAAGCACUUAAAUAUCGGUCCAAGGAAUAAGGUAGUUAUAAUCCAAUUGCGACACACAUUACAAAUACUUGCGACUUUGGCGAAGAUUUAAUUUUGAGGUUUAUCGGAAUUUGGAUAAUCGGCGCAAUGUCGUCGGUCCGGUGUUCGUUCAGCAACUCCCCGAUGGGGGGUAAGAAUGACCUUUUAUAGGUUUUUGUGAGGAAUUUCCACCACGUGAUCAGAUGUUCAUGAGUUAAAGGUUAUAGGUGUCCCAGGGACCUAAAACUAGUGAUGAAAGUUGGAUGCUAACUAUAAACUUUUCUGCAAGAUGAUCUGUAAGUUCUGCAGAGAACAAUAGAUGUUGAUAGUUAUGACCGGAGAGUUUACACAUUCCUGGCUAAGAUUGGUUUUUUCUUCUAGGACGUUACAUAAAUGAAAGUUUAAUUAAUUAACACUUUUGUUAAUAAAGAGCGAAAUUUUUGUUAAUAAAAGAACGUAAUUUACGUCACAAAAAUUCUGGAUCUCACAAUUGUUUAUACCACAGAAUGGUAUAAAUAAUUAUUAUAUGCCUUGAUUCUUGUGCCGCACGUUUACAACAUCCCAUGACUCAGUGAAUGUUGCGCAUUGACUCAAGGGAAAUUUGUUGAAAAAAAUGGCGGAUACAUUUAAAAUCGAGAUUUACAAGUGAAGGUAAAUAAACAAAUUAAACUAUUUUAAAGUAUUUAUAGAAUGUUUAAUAGGUAGAAAUCUAGAUUUUUAUGACGUGAUUGGGAAUUUAACAGCUGUAGAGCUUAUUGAUAAAUAAAAUAA